CCUACGGGAGGCAGCAGUGGGGAAUAUUGCACAAUGGGCGAAAGCCUGAUGCAGCGACGCCGCGUGAGGGAUGACGGCCUUCGGGUUGUAAACCUCUUUCAGCAGGGAAGAAGCGAAAGUGACGGUACCUGCAGAAGAAGCGCCGGCUAACUACGUGCCAGCAGCCGCGGUAAUACGUAGGGCGCAAGCGUUGUCCGGAAUUAUUGGGCGUAAAGAGCUCGUAGGCGGCUUGUCACGUCGGAUGUGAAAGCCCGGGGCUUAACCCCGGGUCUGCAUUCGAUACGGGCUAGCUAGAGUGUGGUAGGGGAGAUCGGAAUUCCUGGUGUAGCGGUGAAAUGCGCAGAUAUCAGGAGGAACACCGGUGGCGAAGGCGGAUCUCUGGGCCAUUACUGACGCUGAGGAGCGAAAGCGUGGGGAGCGAACAGGAUUAGAUACCCUGGUAGUCCACGCCGUAAACCGUUGGGAACUAGGUGUUGGCGACAUUCCACGUCGUCGGUGCCGCNGCUACGACAUUAGUUACCCGUCCGUCGGGAGGUACGGCCGCGACGACGUAAACGUACGAAGGUAAGUUAGUACGGCGUUGUAGACGUUGCCGACGGCGACGACGAGGGAGGAGG
rnacentral:rRNA from 1 species